rnacentral:misc_RNA from 1 species
UUUAUAAAGAGCAAUAUGUACAUUUUUUUUUGUAAGGAAGAAAGGACUUGAAGAUGACAUUAAAAAGUUGAGGGGUAAAUUAAAAGAAAUAAGUACUAAAUUGAAGUAAAUAAAAAAGUUUUAGGGUAGAAUGUAUAAGGGAGAUUAGGACCAUUGGAUAAAAACUUGUUUUAAUUAUUGGAUAAAAGAAGAUUUGGCCUCAUCUACCUCACCAUUCUGUUGCCCCAAUUGAAACCCUUUUCUCCCAUUUUUCUUUUAUCCCUCCAUAGCCAAACUCUCCCAAAUUGAAGAAGAAGAAGACUUAGAAUAUUAGCCUAGCUGAUUUCUACCUUAAACAUCAUCAAUUCAAGCCUUAGGAAGAAGAAGAAAACCAACUUUUGAAGAAGUUGAAGGUAGGCAUCUCCUUCUAGGAUUUUGAGUGGAAGAGUUAAAGAAAAGUGAAAUUAAGUGAUUCUACUAGAGGUUAGUGCUUAAACUCAUCCUUAUUGCCAUAUUUAUAUGUGUGAUUUCUUGUUAUUUGCUAAUUAGAUGAAAUUAGGGUUUGAGGGAUUGAAAUUUGAAAUCUGUGUUGGGUGAGGCUGCUGGAUAGCCACUUCCGAAAAUUCAUAACUUGAGCUAGGGAAGUCGAAAUGAGGUGAUUCUUGUGGAAAAUGAAACUUUGAAGAGUACCCUAAAACUUUGUAGUUUAGUGUUGGCCUUAAUUUUGAUGAUAGAAUAGAGUUUGAAGCCAAAAUAUAUAAUUGCUCAAUUUUAGAACUAGUAUGGCAGAUUCCAGCAAUAGGGACCCAAAUUUAAAAAUACAUAACUUGAGCUAGAAAACUCUAAAAAGGGUGAUUCUUACGACUUUGGAAAGAUUAAAGGGAGCUUUAAAACUUUGUAGUCAUGGUCAGGAAUUAAUUUUGCUGUUUUCCUAUUGGAAUUCAUACUUUUCUGUUGCUGUACACGGUAAAACAGAUUUCUGAACAGCUUGCAUACUUUUGCUUAUAUCUUGAGUUGUAAAAUAUAUUUUUACAUGAUUCCAAUUAGAAAUCAAAAUAGACAUAUGAAAGUUGAUUUCUGAAAAAUUUGGCAUUAAAAUUCCGUCUCUAUGAAUUUUGGUGGAAUUUUGAAUAUUACUAUUCACAUGGCCAGUUUUCUGCAGAAAGUGAUUUUUAAGCUACACACUUCUCAUGUAGGUUUGUUUGAGUAUUUCGCAUCAAAUUGUGGAAUAAACUUUGUUUGAAAUGAAUUAAGUUAAAUUUUGGCUAUAUAUGGCAAAUAUGAGCAUAUGAAAUAAGUACAUGAACUUGAUAAUUGUAAAAGAAUGUAAUAUGUAUUCUUAGUCCUAGUAAAUUUCGGUAGAGGUUGCAGGUUAGUAUAAGGUGUGGCAUGCCAUAUAACUUAGAAGUACUGCAACCACAAAAUAUAUGAUAUUGGCACAUGGUGCCCUACAGUUCUUGGCUUUUGAGCCCUACAGUUCUGGCACUCCGUGCCUUACAGUUAUAGUUUUUCCUUAUCUAGCUAAGCAAUCCUGCUAAGAGUUUAUAUGGGUUGAGAUAUAAGUAAUAUGAUGUAAAUUGAUUAAUAUUUGUCAUAUGAUACAUUUUCUUUAUCUCUUUAUAUCUUGUUCAUGAAUAUGUAUGGCUGUUAACAUUAUAGAAAUUGUUGUUUCAAUCUGCAUAUUAGUUUUAUGCUUGCAUAUUUUUCUUUUAUGGAUGCGUUUAGCACCACUAAGCAUAAGCUUAGCGCGUUGGAUUUUCCUGCGCAUUGGAUUUUUCUACACGCAGAUAGCAGAGAGCAGCCGCCAGUAGAGGGGCCACAGUAGUUUGCAUCAGCUGCGAAGCACAUAAGACAUUUUGAAAUUUUCUUUUCCAUUAAACCUAGGAAAAGUUGUAAAAUGUUGGCAUGUACAUUAGAAAUAGUUGAUGUAAUCAAGUAAAUCAUUUUAUAUCAAACUUUUUACUCUUUGUGUAAUGUAUAAUGUUUAUUGCAAACUUUAUCUUUAUAAUGAUUUAUUUUUAUUAUGGAUGGAUUUAAAAUGAUGUUAAACAUGGUUUGUUCUAUUGUUUAGAAAAUGUUUUAAAUAAAAUAUUAUGCAUUUCAACACAGUUUGUGGUAUUCCCGACUCAAAUUAUUA